CUCAAACAUGUUGAAUUUGCCCGGCAAAAUACGUCAUGUUCUCUUUGCCCCUCUACAUGCCUGCCUCUCGUAGCGGCAGCGGCAGCGCUAUAGCCUACUGAGCACCAGGAUGAGAGAUGAACCGCAGUUUAUAUGUUGAUAUCUGAUGGACGCGGCUGAAGCGACGGCCUUCAGUGUUUAGACCAUGCGAAAGAGCGCUUUCUAAACGGCUAGUAGAGGAUUUCGAUCUGGAUAAGAGAGAUUAGGAAACGGACUCACUCAGAAACAGCUCCAUCCACCCAGACCAUCGAAUGUGUUUAUUUCAGCGCGGCCCAGUUGUCCUAGUUCGAAGCCGGGAGCUAGAUUUGGAACGUCGCAGGAACAUGGAGGAACUAUGAGGGUAGAAGGAGAGAGGGAGAACAGACUCUCUCUGCCAGAGGCCAGAUUCUGAUAUCAUCCAGUCUGGACUACAACAGAACACAGUGACUCGUCAGAUGUUGAAGCGAUGGCCGUGUUGACGGAGCUAUAGUGCUGCAACAUUCAUACACAUAGAUGCCCCCCUCCUAACCCCCUGAGCCCCCUACAGCCUCCCCACCCUCCCUCUGUCUCUCCUCCAUCUCUCCUUCCUCUCUCAUCCCUCUACCACGACCCCCUCUGAUCCCAGCCUCUUUCUGAUCGAAUUGUCUUUCACUUCCUCUGUCUUCUUCUCUCUUUCUCUGUCUUCUUCUCUCUUUCUCUGUGUCUUCUUCUCUCUUU